rnacentral:rRNA from 1 species
AGACGGGGCCCGCACAAGCGGCGGAGCAUGCGGAUUAAUUCGAUGCAACGCGAAGAACCUUACCAAGGCUUGACAUACACCGGUAACGCCCAGAGAUGGGUGCCCCUUUGUGGUCGGUGUACAGGUGGUGCAUGGUUGUCGUCAGCUCGUGUCGUGAGAUGUUGGGUUAAGUCCCGCAACGAGCGCAACCCUCGUCCUAUGUUGCCAGCGGGUCAUGCCGGGGACUCAUGGGAGACUGCCGGGGUCAACUCGGAGGAAGGUGGGAUGACGUCAAAUCAUCAUGCCCCUUAUGUCUUGGGCUUCACGCAUGCUACAAUGGCCGGUACAAAGGGCUGCGAUACCGCGAGGUGGAGCGAAUCCCAGAAAGCCGGUCUCAGUUCGGAUUGGAGUCUGCAACUCGACUCCAUGAAGUUGGAAUCGCUAGUAAUCGCGGAUCAGCAUGCCGCGGUGAAUACGUUCCCGGGCCUU